CGGGAGAGCUAGCGGAGUAGCCACUUACUCCGCCCCAGCGGCCGGGCUCCUGAGCUGCGCGCACGGGGCUCCCCAGGCCCGACAGAAACCCAUUCCGCCACUGAGCAUGCCCAGUGUGACUGUGACCGGGACUCUUCUCACCACCCUGGCCUCAAACUUAGAUGUGAGACCAGACCGGGGGCAGGGAGCGAGUGGGAGAGGGUAGAAUCUCCACACUUCUCCAGAGGGGACGCAAGACGUGGCUCCUGCCUAGGUGACAGUGGGUUAGGGAGGGAGACUGGUGUUGGAAGUUUGUACUUUACACAAAGGAAGAUCAGAUUCUACGCAGUCAAAAUUUCACUAAGUGACCAAGUGGAAACGCGCCGAAACAAAGGAGCUGGAUUCUGAGCUUUCCUUUGAGCUCCAAUAGGAUUUAAAGAGGAAGAAAAUGACUCUGGAAUUCCGGCUGUUUGGAGGACUGAAACUCGUUUUACUUAAUUUGUUUCAAACAGCAUUCGUCCACUCUUCUUUUCAAUUAUUGGCACAAGAAAUUUGUUUCCUGAGGAAAGGCUGGAAAAGUCCCUUAUUUGAAAAAUUUAAACUUCCACAAAAGGGUGUUUGUCCCUUUGCUAGAUCCUCGCACCUCCCCCUGGGAUUUGGUGCUGUCUCUUUGCUGCUCAAGGCCAACCCAAAUGUCCACCUUCUCUUCUAUUAAAACAUAUGCAGAGUUCCCCUUGUGGUUUGUGUCACAAUGAUCCUCUAAAAGGCUACGUUGAUAUCCAGUGAGAGGCCUGCCCAGACUCAAGCCCAGUACCUGUAUUGAUUCAAGUACCCUCUGAGGCCAGGGAGGGGUCAUCACAGAGUUGCUCUGAAAGGUAGGCUUUGGUAAGGAGCAAGAUUUAUCUUGAAUCCUGGUCCCAUAUUGACUGUGUGACCUUGGCCUAGUUAUUUAAUCUUUAUGAGCCUGUGUUCUCAUCUAUAAAAUUGGGGCAGAAAUACCUGGCAGAAAUUAUACGACACUGUGAAUAGAAAAUGCAGCACUGUACUUGGUACAUAGAAGUUAAUCAAUAAAUAAAAAACUGCAAUUUCCUGGCUCA
rnacentral:lncRNA from 1 species